rnacentral:lncRNA from 1 species
AUCUUCAGAUUGUAAUUCCUCUGCGCGUCCAGUGUCCUAUUCAGCACCACCACUAAGACCUGGGUUUGCGGGUAGAGGAAAAAACCGGCUACAGGGACAGCCCCGAACGCCCGGUCCUCGGCCAGCUGCACUUUCUCCACCGCCACUCGGGAAGCGUGCAGCACUACGUAGCGGGUGGCGUUCCGGCACGCGAUCUCCACGUUGACCUCCCCGGAGAAGGUGAAGUUCUCCAUGAAGGCGGUGAGCAUCAGAUUGUAGUGCAGCGGCUUCAGGUGGCCCGACAGGCGCAGCUGCGUCCACGGCUCCCACGGCUCCCGCUCCUCCUCCGACGGCGGCUGGGCCGACGUGGUCCCCGGACUGGCCACCCCACCCGCCUCGGGCUGCCAGGAGUCCCCGCCUGCGUGGUGGUUGCGCCGGGCCGAUCCAGGGAGGCUCCCGUUGCCGCCGCGCUCCGGAAAGCCUGAGGGGCCACCGUCGGCGCCUGGCGUGGCACUCGCCCCGCACUCGUCGAAGCGCAGGCUGAGCAGCACAGCGAGCAUUGUGACCGCGAGCAAUGCCACGAGGGACACAGCGAAGGCCAGCACAAGCCGCUUGUGUACGGCGAUGUGGCGCUCCGUGGUGCGGGGUCGCACUCCCACUGAGUCUGCCCACGGGUCGGAGAGCCCCCUGCUGCCAGCCCGAAGCGCGGCGUCGUCUUCCCCCAUCGCGGCUGCGAAGGCGGCGGCGUUCGGUCCUCUGGGUGGAAUGUGCUCGCAGCAGCAGUGACGGCGGCCACAGCACGGGAGGCACCCGAGCCAUACACCCUGCAGCUGGAGAGAAAAGGAUGGCCGAGGUGGGAGAGACUAGAGUGAACCAGCAGGAGGAAGUCCCAGGGCCGCGAAGCUACGACGGAGAUCCGUCCUGGAAAAGCCUUCUCCACCCUGGGCACUUUAAGCGGCGGUGGCGGCAAACGGCAGGAGGUUGCAGACCCGACAGCGAGACUCCCUCAUUCCAGUCUUGCUCUGCCCUCCGGAGAUGACAAGUGAGAAAGAAGUGUCCGGCCGGGCCAUCCCCUUCAGUUACCAAGAAUAACUGUAAAAUGUGCUGGGAAUGCAAUGUCCUGAGAUAAGGAAGAACUGCCUGAAACAGCCUGGAUCUUAUUCCUGUACUUCCUAGGGAAUGUAACAUCUCAAGUUAAAGAGGAACUGCCCGGAACAGCCCGGGGAUUGUUCCUCUCUCCUGAGAAGGAAGAUUACCUCCAAAGCUCAUCCACUGAGUCACACUGCCCCUGUGGUGGAGGGCGGGCUGCCUUUCCAGGUUCCUCAGCUGUGGUGUAACUGAAGCAGGCACAAUCAAGACUCCAUCUGCUCGAGGCAGCUUUCUCGAACCUUGGGGAACCUACUCACAAUGGAUCACAGGCUUCUUUUGUUUUGUUUCUUGCUGCCUAUCUGUAAGUAAUUAACUUGCUUCAUGUAACGUGUUGCAUAUGAGUGUGUUCUGUCUCAUAGACUCAGGGAAUUGGUAACACUGCAGCUGAGGACGCAGUGGACAGAAGUGUUCAGACUCCUGUUCCUUGUGGUUGACACAGUGAUGAUGAUCUCUUCUGUCCUCCACAGAGUGGAAGUCCUCUCUUGGGAUUGGUUAUUGGUGAAACCACUUCGCAAUUUAUUAAGAUGGCAAAAGCUUACGGAGGGACAGAUUUGAGGGGAAGAUCAAGAUUUUUCUGUCAGUAUUGCAAAUAGUCAAGAAUAUGUGGUCCAAGAAGUGAUCAUUAUCUUUGGCAUUGUGCAAGUCAUUAGUGACCUUCACAUGAACAGUCUCAGUGGAGUGUUGGAGGAAAAAGCCUAACUGAAGAAGGUUCAAGAGUGAAUGGAAAAAGAGCAGUAGUAUGUGGAGAGUACAGACAAGUAUUUCCAGGAGCCUUUCUGUAAAGAGUGGUAGAGAAUGGGACAUCAUUUUUGGAUGGGGGAAGAGUUAUUUAUAGCAUGUUCAUAUGCUAAUGGAAGUGAUCUACUCAUGGGGAAAAUCUUGAUGAUGCAAGAAAGAAAGGGAUUUGUUGGAAUCUUGUCCUAUAACGGGUGAGAGGGGAUGGGUUCUAGAAGAAAAGGCAUGGGUCUUUGUUUGAGAUCAGGCAAUUCAUCUGUAGGAACCAGUAGGAAGAUGGUUAAGUGGGUACCUGUGGUAGUGGAUGUUUGUGAACAUUCUUUUCUUUUCCAUUGUUUCUAUUUUCUCAAUAAAGUGGGAAGCAAAAAUCAGCUGAGUGAAGAUGAGGAAGAAGGUGUUAAAGGUUUGAAGAAAAAAGGAAAAGGAUAUACUAAUCUAAGAGGACAAGUAAGUAGAACAUAGAUAAUGAAAAUGCUGGCCCUUAGGACUGUUGGGCCUAAAUGCUCAUAUUAUAUUGGUAGUCACAAAUUUGAACUUUCUCUAGAGCCAAUUUUUGCAUGUGUGUGCAGGCCUGGAGUAGUUGGAGAGUUGGAUUUAAUAGAAUUGAGGGUCAAGCAACUACAACCAGGGAAGAGUGGGACAAGGGAGAUAAAGGAUAUUGGCAGGGGAGCAAUUAUAAACAUGGACCAUGAUCAAAACUGGACAGGAAGGAAAAUAGAGAUAAGAGGGGUGGAAGGUUAAAAAUAGUGAAAAUGAGAUAGAAUGAAUAGGUUGUAGGUCCCUGUAAAGUUGAAGAAGUAUUAUUAUGCAGUACUCGUUAUUGAAAUGAGGUCACUAUGCUUAAGGCACAGUGAAUCCUAGAAAAUAGUGGUUUUGUUUCUCAUUAGGCAAUACAUUCCUCCUUGCUCCAGAAUGCAACAUACAUGUAUCCUUUUCUGUACUAUUUUUUAUUAAGAAUUCAUACUUAAUUCCACUGACUGCCACUCAAUUUUAAUGUACAGUAGGGAAUUCCUGUACUAUGUAUUAUGAAUCCAUUCCUUUGAAUUUCAUUUAUAAUACUUCAUGACUGACACCUGGCUUUCCACCAAGACUCAAUUUUCAUAGCAAGCCUCAUCAUCAUAAGCCCCCAAAUUAACAGGAUGAGGAGGAAGAAUUGGCAGGCUAAAGAAGAUGAUUAUAUCAAUUAAUGCAGAAAAAGCAUUUGAUAAAAUCCAAUAUUCAUUUGUAAUUAAAAACUCUCAGCAAGUUAGGGAUAGGAAUUACUUCAACUUAAUGAAGAGUGUCUUUAAAAACCUUAUUUUCAUCAGUUAUAACAAAUGUACCACUCUGGUGGUGAAUGUUGCUAAGGAGGGAAGCUAUACAUGUGUGGGGAAAGGAGAUGUGUGAGCAAUUUCUGUACCUUCUACUCAAUCUUCUGUGAGACU